rnacentral:rRNA from 1 species
GGUUGUGAUCAUACCAGCACUAAUGCACCGGAUCCAUCAGAACUCCGCAGUUAAGCGGCUUGGGCGAGAGUAGUACUAGGAUGGGUGACCCCCUGGGAAGUCCUCGUGUUGCAACCC